UAAUCCUUCCCUAUAAAAUGGCCAUUAUAAUCCUCAACACCUGAAGAGCUUGGAGUCAUGGCUUCCAGCAAUAAAAAAUGUCGAAGGAACUUACAAAAAGAAUUGGAGCAUAACCUAGAAAAAUCUGCAGUCGUCGCUGAGCGCUGGUAUGGUAGUAAAUUGUCUGUAUACACAUACACACAGAGUAGUGCGUGGAAUAUGGUGUGCCCCAAAUAGCCCUUUGCAAUAUGAAGUUAUUAUUGCAGAGAAAACACGAGCUAAGGUACUUUCUGGUGCAAAGCUAAUUUUUUUGACAAAACUUUUGGCUGGAUAUAUAGCCAUUUAUUCAGCUGUAUUUUGUCAAAAUAAAAGCUUGUUGUUAUAGUUUAAAUUUCGUGUUUAUGUUGAAUUUAAGAUUGACAAGCAAAAUGAUGAGAAUCUAUAAGCUGAAUUAUAUGUUGAAUUUGCAUAUAUAGCCUUCAAAGUUCUCUGAUUGCAUUGCUCAAUUUAUAGGCAAUCAUUAUAGUGCUACCAAAUAAAUACUUGUUUAAAUUGAAUGGACGGAAUUGUUUAAAUAUUUGUGCUACUUGUUUGCUUGUUUCUUUAUGUUAGAGCAGAUAUGCAUAAACUUGGCAAAGCAAAAUGAUGAGGAACUAUUAGCUGAAAAUUAUGUUGAAGCAACAUAUCAUAUGCCUUCAAGUUCUCUGAUUGAUGCUAGUUAGAGUGAUAUUACUGUUAAUCUUGUUAUUCGUGUUAUUAAGCGGCCUUGAUCAAUUGUGAAACGAUAAAUUUUCUCAAGGAUAUUCAAAUUUGAAGAAGUGAAAAACAUUGUGACAAAGAGUGUUCAAUAUGUGUUAUAUACUUCUAAAACGUAAUAUUUUACCUAUACACCCAGUGUAAUCUUUGGAUGAAGGGUAGUCAGUGUAACCAUGUUGCUUUGCCACUGGCCUCGAUAUGCUGUGCUGAUAUUAAUGAGAAUACCUUACUUUUCCUCAGAAAAAGAAUAGAGAGAAUAUUAUUAAGCUGUCUUAUUUUGUGUAUAAAUUGUAAUAUGAGUACUUUGUAUCUACUUUAGCUAUGACAUAAUGCUCCUUGCAACCUCAUUUAGUUAGGACCUUCCAUGGGGUUGCCAAAGCGAGUGCUCAUUGAUCAUCAGUAUUUGUUUUGAUGAUGUGAUUCGAGUGUCUGAGGUAAAUAAAGGUGGAUAUAAUGCUGUCCUUCUGUAAUUAUCUAGUUAGUUGGAAAAACAAGUUAAACUUUGUUUAGGGGUUUUUGGGGUAUUUUCAGUUGGAAGUUUUGAUCUGACUAACGGGAAGGAUUUGAGCACCAAAAUACAUGGUCUGUUGUUUUAUACUAUCGUCAGACUAUACGAGCAUGGUGCUAUAUUAAGGUUUUCUUAUUAUCUGUUGCUACGUGACUCUUCAUGUUAAAUCAGCGGCAAAGGAUGUUUUGUGAAUAAGAAAUACAUCGAUCACAUUUUAAAACUACAAUCACAUUCCUUAUUUUUAUGUGUUGUUACUGUUUGCCCUGUUGCAUUUGCCUAAUUUCCGUGAACUUCCACUCCAAUGGAAUGCUAGUACUAUAAUAGAAUAGAGCUAGGGUGCAGGUUCCCCUGAUUUGAAAAUAAUGUUAAAGUGGCACUAAUUGCUUCUUAAAAAAGGUUACAUGGAAAAGUAUAAUCAUGAGCAUUCUUUGCCUUUUUUUUUUUUUUUGGUGUAAGACCUGUAAGAUAUUUGCCCAAAAAUAGCAGGCAAUAGUGUUUGGAGAGAUGGCAACGAUAUGUUUACAUUUUUAGGAUACAUUUAAGUAUCUUUUCUGUUAUCCUUAACUCGGUUAAACAGAACAAGGUGCUAGUUAUAUUGAGAAAAUUUACAGAAAAGUAAGAGGAUUGCUGUUUGCUUUUGCUUCUAUUAUCUAAUUCUUUGAAGAUAAAUUAGUUGACUUGACUGAUGUAAAAGUUUUUGAGCACCAAAAUACAGAGUCUGUCGACUUAUACUUACCCUCAGACUAUACGAGCAUGGUGCCAUAUCAAGUAUUUCUUAUUAUCUGUUGUCACUUGAAUCUUCAUUUUCUAUCAGUGGCUAAGGAUAUUUUUAGAAUAAGAACGACACAUCUUGCAUUUUUUAAGCUAUAAGCUUGGUCCGCUGUUCUUAUAGGCUCUUAUAUAACCAACAUUUGUAAACCAGCUGAAUGAUGGUUCUAUGGUAGAGUUGUAAUCUUACAUUUUAAACUUUAAUGUCCCUCAUUUCACUAAUUUCCAUGACCCUUAGACUAUACAAUAGUUGGUAUAUUAAAUUUUCUCAUUAUCCAAGUAUAGAGGUUAUCUUAUUCUGUGUUGUCACUUGACUCUGUAUACUCUAACAGGGAUCCUUAAUUGGUGCCAUUAGGUGUCAAAACUCAGGGGUUGUUUGGUAUGGUGUAUAAGAAGGUAUAAGGGUGGUAUAAAAAUUUAAGGGAUUUUUACCUAUCUAUACAAUAUAGCAAACAUUAUUACUUCCCAUGUUUAAGGUUUGUGUUUAUACACUUAAGCAUACCAAAUUCAAUUUAUGUACCAUAAUUCAAAUUAAAAGUAUAAUUAUUGCUUCAUUUAUUCUAGGCAUGAUUUUAGGAGCAU
rnacentral:lncRNA from 1 species